rnacentral:rRNA from 1 species
AGAGUUUGAUCCUGGCUCAGGAUGAACGCUGGCGGCGUGCAUAACACAUUCAAGUCGAACGGUGAAGGGGACUUCGGUCCCCGGAUCAGUGGCGGACGGGUGAGUAACGCGUGAGCAACCUGCCCAAGUGAGGGGGAUAACGUUUGGAAACGAACGCUAAUACCGCAUGAAGUAUACAGAAGGCAUCUUCGGUAUACCAAAGGAGAAAUCCGCACGAGGAUGGGCUCGCGUCCGAUUAGGCAGUUGGUGAGGUAACGGCCCACCAAACCGACGAUCGGUAGCCGGACUGAGAGGUCGAACGGCCACAUUGGAACUGAGAUACGGUCCAGACUCCUACGGGAGGCAGCAGUGAGGAAUAUUGGGCAAUGGGGGAAACCCUGACCCAGCGACGCCGCGUGAGGGAAGAAGGUCUUCGGAUUGUAAACCUAAGUCAACAGGGAAGAAGAAAGUGACGGUACCUGUGGAGGAAGCCACGGCUAACUACGUGCCAGCAGCCGCGGUAACACGUAAGUUGCGAGCGUUGUUCGGAAUUAUUGGGCGUAAAGGGUAUGUAGGCGGUUCUGAAAGCUUGGUGUGAAAGGCAGAGGCUUAACCUCUGGACUGCAUUGAGAACUGCAGGACUAGAAUUACUGAAGGGCAGCUAGAAUUCCAUGUGUAGGGGUGAAAUCUGUAGAUAUGUGGAAGAAUACCAAUGGCGAAGGCAAGCUGCUGGCAGAUGAUUGACGCUGAGGUACGAAAGUGCGGGGAGCAAACAGGAUUAGAUACCCUAGUAGUCCACGCCCUAAACGAUGAGUACUAAAUGUUGGAUUUAUUCAGUAUUGCAGCUAACGCAAUAAGUACUCCGCCUGAGGAGUAUGCACGCAAGUGUAAAACUUAAAGGAAUUGACGGGACCCCGCACAAGCGGUGGAGUAUGUGGUUCAAUUCGACGCAACGCGAAGAACCUUACCAGGCCUUGACAUCCCUUGCAAUGUUAUAGAGAUAUAACGGAGGUUAUCAAGGUGACAGGUGGUGCAUGGUUGUCGUCAGCUCGUGUCGUGAGAUGUUGGGUUAAGUCCCGCAACGAGCGCAACCCUUGUCUUUAGUAGCUAGCAGUUCGGCUGAGCACUCUAAGGAGACUGCCCGGGAUAACCGGGAGGAAGGUGGGGAUGACGUCAAAUCAUCAUGCCCCUUAUGAGCAGGGCUACACACGUGCUACAAUGGCGUAAACAAAGGGAGGCGAAACCGCGAGGUCAAGCAAAUCCCAAAAAUAACGUCUCAGUUCGGAUUGUAGUCUGCAACUCGACUACAUGAAGCUGGAAUCGCUAGUAAUCGCGAAUCAGAAUGUCGCGGUGAAUGCGUUCCCGGGUCUUGCACUCACCGCCGGUCA